CAGGAAAGUCUGAGGAUCUGAAUAUUUGCCUGGGUGUGGACCACUACGUUCGGCCGGUGCGGAAUGGAUCAGAACAUUCAUUCUCAGCAAUGGGAUAAACUCCAGCUGGUUCGACUAGUUUGGGAGAUGUACAUAGUUGUACACAUGUGCAGUUUCAUUAAAUCCUUAGUUCUGAAUUAUAUCAUGAUAUUCCUUUUUGCCCCAUGGAUUAUUCAAGAGUAUUUGGUUAUGACUUGAGAGCCCCUGAGAUCCGUAUUUCAUUAUAAAUACUAAAUGCAAAACUAAGAUGUUUUCUCCCUUUUUUAAGUUACUUUUCACACUGUUGAUUUAUGUUUGCUAAUCUAAUAACCAGACAGAUUGCCAUUGGUUUUGGCAUAAUUACUUUUGGAGAAAAAAACUCAUUUACAGAAACGUUUGAAAAAUAUUUUUUGUCUUUUUAAUUAAUAGCAAUUUGCAUCAGUCAGAAAUUCCAAGUUCAAAGUUCCCUAACUUCUUUGCUUCUAUUUUCGUUCUGUUUUUUGUAGAAUUUUGACCUCUCUGUCUUUUGCAGGUGACGGUAUUUAGAUUUCAGAAGGCAAAAGAGGGUAUUGUCAUUCUCUGCAGGCAGCAGAUCUCUAGCCAUUGAUAUAUGUGUCGUUUCACAAGACUCGUAGGCACAGCAAUGCUACAGUCUGGCAGCGGAUUAUGAAGACCUAAAACAACCUCCCAUUCUGAUUAAUAAAAAAAAGCAAAUACUUUAAAUCUGUUUAUUUUGAGUUACAGGUAGCCUGUAGUUGAAUACACACAUUACAUUUUGAAAAUCAACAAAAAAUAUUUAGUUGAUUCCUGUAGCCCUUGGAAUGGUGGAUUCAUAUACAGAAUAUUGAAUUGUAGAAGAAAAAAAACAAGCAUCUGAGUAUAAACAUCGAAAAAUGGGGCAAAAUGAAGAAAGCAGGGACGGGGGUGCAUAAAACAGACACUUGAGACAUUUUUCAAGCAUGAUUCUUUGUCUUCUUGAACUCCGAUUUAAAGGUUGCUUAGCAACAGUGGCAGUAACAGCUGGGACACCCUUGAUCUUGUUGUGUAAACUAUUAAAAAUAGGUGGUGGAAAGUGGCACCAUGGAAACAAUGACUGCACUGAAGCAGGUGUCUGUAAUGCUGCUUUUCAGUUUAAGGUUGGAGGUGUAAAUUACAAAAAGAAAAUAACUGUAUCUUUCAUUCUCUUGGACUUUGUAUAUUCUAUGCAGUAUCUCCAGACAACUACUGUUGAGUUGGCUUUUCUUCCUUUUAUGCAUCACUCACCCCAGUUCCCUGAUUUGGAAGAACUCAGCAAUGAUACAAAUAGGAAUAUAUAUUGGAAUUCGGGUAAGUGAUAAACAAUUGUGAAAUAGUUCUUGUGCAAGAGAAAGUAACAAAUGAUGGGUAGGUUUUUCCCCAUGAGCAUGGUUUACAACACCUGGUGCUACUUCAUUUAUAGAAAAUAUCUUUUAUACUCUGUACAAAGCACUGUGCUAGACCCUGGAUAGAGAAGGAUGAAGAAAACUCAUAUGGUCAGUGAAAUCGUUAGCCUACAAUUGGUAAGGAAAGCAUAUACUACGUAGCUGAUGACUAAAAAAAGCAAUACUUACAAAAUGUGCUGGAUGGAUUAAGGAAAACAUUGCGGUACUAUAAGAGAGAAAAAUCUGCCUGGAAUUAUAUUUAAAUUAGGUAGUCAGGGAAGACUUCUCUUAAGAGUUAAGGUUUAAGCUGACACCUGAAGAAUGGUUGACUUUUUCAAUGAAAAGAAAGGCAAAGACUUCUGAAAAAUGAAUGAAGAGAAAUGUGAGAAGCAAAGAGAAGUUGUAAAACAUUUACUGUAAUGAGUGAUUACUAGGCACACUGUGAGAUCGCUUCGAAAGUGUUGACUGACUUAGGGAUUACUCAGAUCCUAGAUAUUCAGUUGAUAAUCAGUUUUGAUCUCUUGGCUGGAAGGAGGGGAUGCAUUCUCAGUGAAGAAAAGACAUAGUAAAUAUUAGAAGGGUAACUAUGUCUCUUAAAUCCAAUGUUUGGAAAAAAAAUCUUUGCAUGAAAGAUAUUACAGUUGUUUUGCUUAAGGAAAAAGCAAACUUUAUAAUAGAAUUUAUAAUAUCAAUUAAUUUUCCCUCUGUGGAAGCUCCGCUGCAAUAGAGUAGCUUAUUGAAUAUUUAUAAUAUAAAUAUGGUAAGCGUUCAGCAAAAAAUAGCA
rnacentral:lncRNA from 1 species